GAUCCUGCAACUCAGUUGGUUAGAGCGCUACACCGGAAUUGCAGGGCCGCAGGUUCGAUUCCUGCCAGGGACC
rnacentral:tRNA from 1 species